rnacentral:rRNA from 1 species
UACCAGCACCCCGAGUGGUCGGGACGAUUAUUGGGCCUAAAGCAUCCGUAGCCGGUUCUACAAGUCUUCCGUGAAAUCCACCUGCUUAACAGAUGGGCUGCGGAGGAUACUAUAGAGCUAGGAGGCGGGAGAGGCAAGCGGUACUUAGUGGGUAGGGGUAAAAUCCGUUGAUCCAUUGAAGACCACCAGUGGCGAAGGCGGCUUGCCAGAACGCACUCGACGGUGAGGGAUGAAAGCUGGGGGAGCAAACCGG